rnacentral:rRNA from 1 species
CGGGGUGGAGUAACGCGUGAGGAACCUGCCUCAAAGAGGGGGACAACAGUUGGAAACGACUGCUAAUACCGCAUAAGCCCACGGCUCGGCAUCGAGCAGAGGGAAAAGGAGCAAUCCGCUUUGAGAUGGCCUCGCGUCCGAUUAGCUAGUUGGUGAGGUAACGGCCCACCAAGGCGACGAUCGGUAGCCGGACUGAGAGGUUGAACGGCCACAUUGGGACUGAGACACGGCCCAG